GACGAACGCUGGCGGCGUGCUUAACACAUGCAAGUCGAACGGAAAGGCCCUUUCGGGGGUACUCGAGUGGCGAACGGGUGAGUAACACGUGGGUGAUCUGCCCUGCACUUCGGGAUAAGCUUGGGAAACUGGGUCUAAUACCGGAUAGGACUACGGACUGCAUGGUCUGUGGUGGAAAGCUUUUGCGGUGUGGGAUGGGCCCGCGGCCUAUCAGCUUGUUGGUGGGGUGAUGGCCUACCAAGGCGACGACGGGUAGCCGGCCUGAGAGGGUGUCCGGCCACACUGGGACUGAGAUACGGCCCAGACUCCUACGGGAGGCAGCAGUGGGGAAUAUCGGACAAUGGGCGCAAGCCUGAUCCAGCAACGCCGCGUGGAGGAUGAAGGUCUUCGGAUCGUAAACUCCUGUCAGGCGGGACGAAGGGGCGUCGGCAAAUAGUCGAUGCCUUUGACGGUACCGCCAGAGGAAGCCCCGGCUAACUCCGUGCCAGCAGCCGCAGU
rnacentral:rRNA from 1 species